rnacentral:rRNA from 1 species
GCCUACGGGACGCAGCAGUGGGGAAUAUUGCACAAUGGGGGAAACCCUGAUGCAGCGACGCCGCGUGAGUGAAGAAGUAUCUCGGUACGUAAAGCUCUAUCAGCAGGGAAGAAAAAAAGUCUUUGGCUUUGGACGGUACCUGACUAAGAAGCCCCGGCUAACUACGUGCCAGCAGCCGCGGUAAUACGUAGGGGGCAAGCGUUAUCCGGAUUUACUGGGUGUAAAGGGAGCGUAGACGGCCAUGCAAGCCAGGGGUGAAAGCCCGGGGCCCAACCCCGGGACUGCCCUUGGAACUGCAUGGCUGG